UUAUAAUUAGGGGAGUAUAAAAGGAAAAGAAGAAGGGAAAAAUCAGAAAAAAAAAAAACUUCAGAAAAACCGUAAUCCUCUCUCCCCUUCUCAGCCGUCAUCUUCUCUCUCUCUCAAACUCUCUCUCUCGCUGUUCUUCUUCUCUCGGAAUUUCUCUCUCCAUCUCUCUCUUUCACGGGUGUCUCGUCGAGAGUCGUGUGUGGUGGUGCGCGUUGUGCGAGUCGUGCUCGAGUGAGUGCGAGUUCGAGUGCUGCGUCGUCGUGUGGUUGAGUGCAACGAUGAGGGUCGAUCGAGGGGUGCGAAGACUGUGCGGGUUACGAGAGAACUGGUGCGAGGGUGGUGCGCGUGCGCUGUGCGAAGUCGCGAGUGGUUUUGUGCGAGCCAUCUUUGUGUGUGAGACGAGCGAGGGACGCGGGUGGUGCGAGCGAGUGCGACGUGGAUUUGUGCGUGGGUGUUCGAGAGGGUUUGCGACGAGAUCGUCGAGCGGUGUGCGAGAAGGUUUGUGCGAGGGCGAGACCUCGUGUGUGGCUAUGUGGCGAGGGCUAUCGGAAUUUUCGUUCAUUGCCGGAUUUUGACGCCGGCGAGUUUAGCGACUAGGUGUGCUGGUGCUGCUGCAUGAUAUCAAGCAUACGAGGGCUAGUCUUUAGUUUUUGAAUUUAAGCAUUUUGAAUUAAGUACUAUUGGAUUUUCUAGGACUUACAUAAAUGGUUUGUGGUUUGAAUAAAAGGGGUCGUCGAUGAUUCCCGAGUUGUAUUUACAUUUUUUAUUCCUCUGCAUUUUAGUUUUUGAGACAAUAAUUUGAGUUA